CUUUACUUGGGAAGGCAGACAAUACACACAGACAGCCAUGCUCAGGGCUACACUGAGAGUCCAACUGAUGCAAAGACAGUUGUCUUACAUACUGACUUGUUCUUUUUUAUUCUCCCACCUCAGUCUCCCGAGUAGCUGAGAUUACAGGCAUGCGCCACCAUGCCUGGCUAAUUUCGUAUUUUUAGUAGAGAUGGAGUUUCUCCAUGUUGGUCAGGCUGGUCUCAAACUCUGAACCCCAGGUGAUCCGCCCACUGCAACCUCCCAGAGUGUUGGAAUUACAGGCGCGAGGCACUGGGCCCAGUCUUUUGACUUGUUCUUAAAAAAAAUUUUUUAUUACAAUACAUGGGCAGUUUACUCCUUUGCUCAGAAGAUAAGCAAAGCUUUUAUAGAAGAUGGGAUACAUUCAUUACAACAG
rnacentral:lncRNA from 10 species